UACGUAGGGGGCUAGCGUUGUCCGGAAUCAUUGGGCGUAAAGCGCGCGUAGGCGGCCAGAUAAGUCCGGUGUGAAAGUCACAGGCUCAACCUGUGAAUGCCGCUGGAAACUGUCUGGCUAGAGUCCGGAAGGGGCGAGUGGAAUUCCUGGUGUAGCGGUGAAAUGCGCAGAUAUCAUUUGGAACGCCAAUGGUGAAAACAGCUCGCUGGGGGUUUGCUGACGCUGAGACACGAAAGCCAGGGGAGCAAACGGG
rnacentral:rRNA from 1 species